rnacentral:rRNA from 1 species
GUGCACCAGGCGCGAAUACUUUACAAUGUGCGAAAGCACGAUAAGGGAACUCUGAGUGCCUCCUAAGGAGGCUGUUCAGGUGUCUAAAAAGCACCUGGAGUAAGGGCUGGGUAAGACCGGUGCCAGCCGCCGCGGUAACACCGGCAGCCCAGGUGGUAGCCACUUUUAUUGGGUCUAAAGCGUCCGUAGCCGGUUGAGUAAGUUCCUUGGGAAAUUUGGCUGCUCAACAGUCAAGCUUCCAGGGAAUACUGCUCGACUUGGGACUGGGAGAGGUCAGAGGUACUCCAGGGGUAGGGUGAAAUCCAUUAAUCCCUGGGGGACCACCGGUAGCGAAGGCGUCUGACCAGACCAGGUCCGACGGUGAGGGACGAAGGCUA